CGAACGAUGAAGCCCUUCGGGGUGGAUUAGUGRCGAACGGSUGAGUAACACGUGGGCWAUCUGCCCUUCACUCUGGGACAAGCCCUGSAAACGGGKUCUAAUACCGGAUAACACUCUGUCCCGCAUGGGACGGGGUUAAAAGCUCCGGCGGUGAAGGAUGAGCCCGCGGCCUAUCAGCUUGUUGGUGGGGUGAUGGCCUACCAAGGCGACGACGGGKAGCCGGCCUGARAGGGCGACCGGSCACRCUGGGACUGAGACACGGCCCASACUCCUACGGGAGGCAGCMGUGGGGAAUAUUGCACAAUGGGSGAAAGCCUGAUGCAGCGACGCCGCGUGAGGGAUGACGGCCUUCGGGUUGUAAACCUCUUUCAGCAGGGAAGAAGCGAAAGUGACGGUACCUGCWGAASAAGCGCCGGCUAACUACGUGCCARCUGCCGCGGUAAUACGUASGGCGCAAGCGUUGUCCGGAAUUAUUGGGCGUAAAGAGCUCGUAGGCGGCUUGUCACGUCGGAUGUGAAAGCCCGGGGCUUAACCCCGGGUCUGCAUUCGAUACGGGCUAGCUAGAGUGUGGUAGGGGAGAUCGGAAUUCCUGGUGUAG
rnacentral:rRNA from 1 species